rnacentral:rRNA from 1 species
CCUACGGGAGGCAGCAGUGAGGAAUAUUGGUCAAUGGCCGGAAGGCUGAACCAGCCACGCCGCGUGAAGGACGAAGGUGCCAAGCAUUGUAAACUUCUUUUGUCUAGGGACAAAAUCAAGCUCGAGGGUCGGACCGAGGGUACUGGAAGAAAAAGCAUCGGCUAACUCCGUUACAGCAGCCGCGGUAAUACAGAGGAUGCGAGCGUUAUCCGGUUUUAGUGGGUUAAAAGGGUGCGUAGGCGGACGGUUAAGUCAGCGGUAAAGGCCCGGGGUUCAACCCCGGCGAGCCGUUGAAACUGGCUGUCUUGAGAUGUCGAGAGGUAUGCGGAAUGCGAAGUGUAGCGGUGAAAUGCGUAGAUAUUGCGCAGAACUCCGAUUGAGAAGGCAGCAUACCGGCGGCGAUCUGACGCUGAGGCACGAAAGCGUGGGUAUCGAACAGGAUUAGAUACCCGGGUAGUC